rnacentral:rRNA from 1 species
GACGAACGCUGGCGGCGUGCUUAACACAUGCAAGUCGAACGGAAAGGCCCUGCUUUUGUGGGGUGCUCGAGUGGCGAACGGGUGAGUAACACGUGAGUAACCUGCCCUUGACUUUGGGAUAACUUCAGGAAACUGGGGCUAAUACCGGAUAGGAGCUCCUGCUGCAUGGUGGGGGUUGGAAAGUUUCGGCGGUUGGGGAUGGACUCGCGGCUUAUCAGCUUGUUGGUGGGGUAGUGGCUUACCAAGGCUUUGACGGGUAGCCGGCCUGAGAGGGUGACCGGCCACAUUGGGACUGAGAUACGGCCCAGACUCCUACGGGAGGCACCAGUGGGGAAUAUUGCACAAUGGGCGGAAGCCUGAUGCAGCAACGCCGCGUGCGGGAUGACGGCCUUCGGGUUGUAAACCGCUUUCGCCUGUGACGAAGCGUGAGUGACGGUAAUGGGUAAAGAAGCACCGGCUAACUACGUG